rnacentral:rRNA from 1 species
AAAAGGAUGUGGGAUUUCUAAGACAACUAGGAUGUUGGCUUAGAAGCAGCCAUUCAUUAAAAGAGUGCGUAAUAGCUCACUAGUCAAGAGAUCCUGCGCCGAAAAUGUCCGGGGCUCAAACUUACCACCGAAGCUACGGGUUCACACUUAGUGUGAGCGGUAGAGGAGCGUUGUAAUCGGGCUGAAGUCGUACCGUAAGGAGCGGUGGACUGAUUACAAGUGAGAAUGUUGGCAUUAGUAGCGAGAUGUAGGCGAGAAUCCUACAGGCCGAAUAUCUAAGGUUUCCUGGGUAAAGUUUGUCUUCCCAGGGUUAGUCGGGACCUAAGGCGAGGCCGAAAGGCGUAGUCGAUGGACAAUUGGUUGAUAUUCCAAUACCACUAUCAUCGUUAUUACCGAGGGUGUGACGGAGAAGGAUAGGAUGUGCUAGCUAUUGGAUGCUAGUCGAAGCGUUUAGGGAGUUAGAGUAGGCAAAUCCGCUCUAACAAUUCUGAGGCGUUAUAGGGAAGGUUCUACGGAACCGAAGUAUCUGAUUCCAUGCUUCCAAGAAAAGCAUCUAGGGAGAGAAGUAGUGCCCGUACCGCAAACCGACACAGGUAGAUGAGGAGAGAAUCCUAAGGCCGACGGAAGAAUUGCAGUUAAGGAACUAGGCAAAUUGACCCCGUAACUUCGGGAGAAGGGGUGCCUACGAAAGUAGGCCGCAGAGAAUAGGCACAAGCAACUGUUUAACAAAAACACAGGUCUCUGCUAAAGCGUAAGCUGAUGUAUAGGGGCUGACGCCUGCCCGGUGCUGGAAGGUUAAGGGGAACACUUAGCGCAAGCGAAGGUGUGAACUUAAGCCCCAGUAAACGGCGGCCGUAACUAUAACGGUCCUAAGGUAGCGAAAUUCCUUGUCAGGUAAGUUCUGACCCGCAUGAAAGGCGUAAUGAUUUGGGCACUGUCUCAACAGCCCGCCCGGCGAAAUUGUAGUACCGGUGAAGAUGCCGGUUACCCGCGACAAGACGGAAAGACCCCAUGGAGCUUUACUGUAGCCUAAUAUUGGGUUUCGAUGUUGCAUGCACAGGAUAGAUGGGACACUGGGAAACAAUCGCUUUGGCGGUUGCGGAGUGGCCGUUGGGAUACCAUCCUUGCGAUAUUGGAAUUCUAACCUGCGGCUCUGAAUCGAGUCGGGGGACAUUGUUAGGUGGGCAGUUUGACUGGGGCGGUCGCCUCCUAAAAAGUAACGGAGGCGUUCAAAGGUUCGCUCAGCUUGAACGGAAAUCAAGCAAAAGAGUGCAAACGCAGAAGCGAGCCUAACUGCGAGACUGACGGGUCGAGCAGUAACGAAAGUUGGAGUUAGUGAUCCGGUGGUAUGUGAGUGGAAAUGCCAUCGCUCAACGGAUAAAAGUUACCCUGGGGAUAACAGGCUGAUCUCCCCCAAGAGUCCACAUCGACGGGGAGGUUUGGCACCUCGAUGUCGGCUCAUCGCAUCCUGGGGCUGAAGUAGGUCCCAAGGGUUGGGCUGUUCGCCCAUUAAAGCGGCACGCGAGCUGGGUUCAGAACGUCGUGAGACAGUUCGGUCCCUAUCCGUCGCGGGCGUAGGAAAUUUGAGAGGAGCUGUCCUUAGUACGAGAGGACCGGGAUGGACUGACCUAUGGUGUACCAGUUGUUUCGCCAGAAGCAUUGCUGGGUAGCUAAGUCGGGAAGGGAUAAACGCUGAAAGCAUCUAAGUGUGAAGCCCACCUCAAGAUGAGAUUUCCCAUAGCAUAAGCUAGUAAGACCCCUUGA